UGGGGGACAACGUUUCGAAAGGAACGCUAAUACCGCAUACGUCCUACGGGAGAAAGCAGGGACCUUCGGGCCUUGCGCUAUCAGAUGAGCCUAGGUCGGAUUAGCUAGUUGGUGAGGUAAUGGCUCACCAAGGCGACGAUCCGUAACUGGUCUGAGAGGAUGAUCAGUCACACUGGAACUGAGACACGGUCAGACUCCUACGGGAGGCAGCAGGA
rnacentral:rRNA from 1 species